rnacentral:lncRNA from 1 species
GCCGUUGGUAUACCAUUCUUGGGUGGAGUCACACCUACAACCACAACUUCCCAAAUAGAAGGGUAAAGCCCGUAGAGAUGCAUUUUCAUGUCGUAUGACCACUUGGGAUAAUCUGUCCCAUCAAAGUAAGGAGGUUUUCCCAAGUGGACGGAUUGAAAUUGUGAAAAAGGAUAUUGAGAUGAUGCAUUUGAGUAGUUAG